rnacentral:misc_RNA from 1 species
GGGAUCGUCUAUUUUGUCGAAAAUGGAUAGUGCGUAGUCCAUGGUGGGAGUGGGGAGGAGGAUGGCGGCCGAUUCGAGAAGGUUCUCGAUCACCGUAGGGUCGAGGUGGCGGCGAGUUUUGAGGAGGUGGGCGUGAACUUGGUUCAGGUCUUUGGUUGUUUUGCAUUGUUGCAAGAUUAGGGUUUUUGGGUUUUCUGGGAACUGGGAAAUGUUGGUUACGGGUGGGAGAAAUUUGGCCGGAGAAUGAGCAAGUACAGUAGCCAUUUUGGUGCGGCUAUCCUAUCUUUGAAUUGC